GUGUUACCCACUGCUGUCCCGUUGCCUCCUAUAAACGUGGAUAAAACAGCAAUCAAACGUCAAAUCAAGGAAAUGCUAGAAACAGCCUUGAGUUUGAGUAUUCAGUAUGACUAUUGAAGUUUUUUGCUUAAAACGAGAAAAAUAAACAGUCCACAAGGGGAUUGGCAUUGGUUAUAGUUCCACGUCAGACUUCAGACAACAAAAUAUCAGUGUUAAAGAAAAAUCAGUGAAAAGAUCGUGCAAAAAACGUGUGGAAUCAAUGAAAGGCUUUUUACUUACAGAUUCAAUAGAGAAAAAAAGUCAAGAUUGAUAACUUUUAAUCUUUUCAUUCAACAUCUAUUACAGCCAAUCUCUUACAAUGUGAACAGCAAGAUUACUAAACUGACAUAUUUGAACCGACAUUGACGCGAUGAUCAUUAAAAAAAACUGACGUUCGGGAAGAAAUUAGCUUGGUGAGGAAACUCUUGUCAUGGAGAAAAGUAAUAUGUGGCUGUACUCAAGCCUCCAACAAAUGAACUCUUGCUGCAGUUUUAACCAAGACGGUAUUUGAAAAGCCCCUUUAGAAAGAGCUAUACUAUCUGAGGCAGGUGACUCCCAUGAUACAAUUAUCAAGCAAGUAUAAGGCAAGGACAAUUGUAAUCUGGAACUCGACGAACAGGUCAAUGUUGAGAAAGAAGAAGAUGACUGCUCAAUACAAUUAAAUCAAAGAAGGACAAUACGGAAGCUCUGGUGGAAGCUAUGAAAGAGUUUGGCGUUGAAGUGGAUAUCGAUUUAAUUUAACUAGUGUGAAAUCCCAAAGUAGAGCCAGAAGGUCCAUCUAUCACCGGCACACCAAUAUCCAACGGAACUUACUCCACAAGACUGGCAUAAGUGUAGUGCCUACUGAAAUUAACUUACGAAUCAUAGUUCCGAUGGAUUCACUUUCAAGGAGAAAAGCAGUCGACAGUCCCUAUAGGAGGAGAGACACUGUAACUGCCAUUUGCUUAGCGAUUGAGAUUAGCGAAAGUCGUGGAUACCAUCUGUCAAUCAAUGCGUCUUGUCUACCGACCCGGAUCCCCCGUGUGUAUAUCGAUCCUCUCGAUCCUGGUUGCUUACAUCCGCCAAGUUUUUAUUGACACUAGCCAGCAAAAAGCUCGCAGAAACAUUCGCGAAGAUAACGGAAAAGAGACACCAACACGGGGGAAAGAAACAAAAGGACGCCAGUUCAUCCAUUCUCACGCUCAAAAGAAGUUCCGUUGAUUACUGUACCCCAAGCUUGUCUGCUUAACAUUUAAGGGUUGUGAGUUUGGGACCGGCGAAUGUAGUUUUUAAAGUAAAAUAAGUCGUCGAAGAACGCUCCGUCAACGUCAAUUUUUAUUUGCCAAUAAACAGUGCCCGAAGAGUUCAUACCGAGACCGCUAUUUCAUGUGCCUUGGCUUGCAGGAUACGAAUUAGCAAUCCACUGUCCAAGCACUGUUGCCCAGGUGCUGAAACGUCUGGUUGCAGACAAGGCACAUGAACCAAUAUCACUGCCUUUUCUUCAGGUGUAGAAGUUGGACUGGUGAAGUUGUGUCGUUGUUGAAGUGCGUUUGAUUUCAGCUGGGGUCGUUACCGACUUCGCAACCAGAUUCUUUGCCAUUAUUUGCAAUCGGAAUAAUCAGUUUAGUCGAGUUUACGGUGCAAAUUUAGCCAUAAGCCACGGUUUGAUUUUGGAAGUGAUGAAGUAUUUCUAAGCCAUUCGACCAAGCUUAAUCGAAAGUGAACAAUUCUAAGGCAUCAUGCCGAAGAUCUUUUGCCUUUCUCAUCCACGUGAUCGCUGCCGUGUCAUGAAGAUGCUUCUUUGAGAGGGUCUCUACUAUAUUGUAACUUGCAAGACAAAAAAGUGAUGAGAACAGGAAAUCUGAAUUGCUUAUAAUGUACUUUUAAGAUAAAUCAAUUAGAGUUCAACCUGCAGACGGGCCGGCCAGUUUGCAUGU